UCGCCUGUCACCGUGCGCCAUUUUGGAUUUUCGGAAAUGAAAAAAAAAAAAAAAAAAAAAUCACGGGCAUUUCUGUAAAGCCCAUAUUCACGACUCUAAUAACUGUUUCCUUUUUAAUAACCUUGUGCUGAAAUUACAAUCCUAACAACUCUAAUCACUAUCGGAAGACACCCCUCCCCCUCUCCCCCCCCCAAAAAAAGAAGCCAGUUGUGUUGCAGAAAGUGACAAUGGCAGGUGUCGGAGGAGGGAACGAUUUCCAAUGGUGCUUCUCUCAGGUGAAGGGAGCCUUAGACGAAGAUGUGGCUGAAGGUGGCACACUGGGCUGGGGCAUCCCAGGAGAAAGGGCAGGAGGGAUACUGCUGUGCUACUGUCAGCUGGUCGUUUCCGGCUCCUCUCCUCCUCACUGCUGCUUUGUUAUAAAUAAUCAAGUGGCCUUGCUGUGAGAUGUGGCACUAAAAGAGACACAGAGAGAGAGCCCCCAGCAUCACAGGGAGAGGCCCCAAGCAUCACAGGGAGAGGCCCCAAGCAUCACAGGGAAAGAGAGCUCCCCCCCCAUCAUUACGGGGAGAGAG